CUCACAGCCAGGGUUGGGCACAGGGACCUCACACAUCUCCCUGCUUUACAGGAAAGCCAUCGGCUCCAUGGGCUUGGCUGAAGCUGAGUGAGGGGAAGAGAGGGAGAAAGCGCCAGGUACCAAGCGUAACUCUAUGCAUGAGCACCAGCAUCCUUGCCGCUCUGCCAGUCUGCGGGAUUGAAUUGCAUCACCCUCACAAUUUCGCAUGUUGAUGUCCCAAGCCCUGGUUCCCAGGAGGGUCUGUGAGUAUGUAAUUAGUUACGGUGAACCAGCAUGGGCCAGGCGGGCCUUCCGUGCAGGAUGACUGGGCCCUCAUACAGAGGGGACAUCUGAACGCAGAGGUGCACAGAGGGCGAGCUUCCCGUGCAGGUGCGGGUGAAGGUGGAGUCGGGUGCUAUGGCUGCCACCCAGAAGACACUAGGAAACUCGGGGCGGAGCCUGCAAGGCAUCUUCCCUCGCAGCCUGCAGAAGGAAGCCACUCUGCCAACAGCUUGGUGUCGGCCUCCCAGCCUCCGGAACCGGGAGACAAUGGAUUUCUGCUGUUCGCACUGCCCAGGCUGCGCCCUUGUGCUACUGCAGCUGUAGCGAACUCAUCUAACAAGAGACAUCACUUGCUGGAGACA